UUUUAAUUUAACACUUAAAAGUUAGAUUUCUAAGUAUCCUAUAUAUUCUUCCAAUUAUCUCUAAUUUCUACACAUAUUUAACCGUAUUUUUUGAUUUUUUUUCCAAUUUGUAUUCUUCAUUGUCGGCGAUAAAGUGCGGUUAUCGUUGUAUACUGCGCGGUAACCACGGUAAAACCGCAAAACUGUUAUUUUUUUAAUACGAUUUUUGUGCGGUUUUUCGUGGUUAUCGCGUGAAAACCGUGGUAGCCGCGCUGCCACGGGGUGGUGGUAACCCCGGGCCAAACGAUAUGGGGAACCUGGCCGGCGUCACGUUGCAGCCUCGCCGCGGCUGCUGAGGUUCGAGUUGAGGGCACGCUGCAGGUGACGGCGGGGGUGCUGCCGUGGCUACUUCGUGCGCUCGGCAGCUCCGUUGGUGGAAGGAGCAGCUAAAAUCUGCAGCGAAGAAGAUGACGUCCUCAUUCAUCGCCAAGCCGUCGCCAUCCCCAUCUCUUAUGCAUUCCCUAUUCUCCUCAUCAUGCCAAACAAUUCUUCUUUUGAUACCGUCUUAUUUCAUCUACUGCAGCGAUGAGAAUGCCGCCAUGCCAUUGUCGGCUCUAGAGCACGCACCGAGCGCUACCACCAUGAUGUUGCCGCUGUUUCCGGCCGUUGUGAACCACCCCAGACCGGGCCACCAUGCCAUCGUGACCACCACAGCUUUCUCUCGAAGACCCCCAAAAAUCCCCAAGAAUCAUGCACCGAGGUGGGAGAUUGACAUCGUCUUCCUCACCUUUGGCCGCCGCUUCCCCUUUCCGAUUCCGAUUCCCCUUUCUGAUUCCGUCCAAUUCCUUGGGCGUGAGCCUUCCUACUAGCUCUACUAAUCUUGUGCGCACGCUUCCUUGGUAGACCUUGGGCCGCUUAUCGCUAUCGACGUCGUUCUGUCAUUUCUGCCGGUGCCGGAGCCAUUACUCCCGUCGCCGCUGUUGUCCAAUCUUCGCCAGCCCGCGCACGACAUCAGGUUUCUCGAUUCUAUUGUCAACGUCGAAAUAAGAACAACACGGGCACAGGUCUGUCCCAGACGUUCACUUCUGAGAGGCGUAUACCACAAGGAUACAGGGGAAAUUUGAUUCCAGUUUGCAAAUGCUCACGUGGAACACGAAGAUGGACGAGUGAUCAAAAUCAAACGUCGAAACAGGAGCCAACACGAUAAGCAUUCAGUAUACAUGCAUACGAUAAGAGUCUGAGGCAGCUGGUUUCCGCGACAAGGGAAACCUCUGUGAAUGUUGCACGCUUAGCAUCGCCAUAGAAAUUCUCAAAUAUACGGAGUACUCCAUAAUUACAUGCGCAUUUCCUUGCCAGCAAAGUGAUUAUUUUUUACUAAUACUAGACUAAGUA